rnacentral:lncRNA from 1 species
CAAAGAUGCGACAAGUAAUUGUCCAGUGUGUCCAUACAUGUGCUAGAUGUGCUAGAUAGAUGCGUCUACAUAUAUUGAUCAUCUCGAUAUCCGACGGAUACGGUAUUGCUAAUAUCAGAUGGAUGUGGAUUAUCCUCCAUUUUUUCGGAUUGUACGAAAUCCUUAAUUAAAAUUACUAGAUGAUGCCUCGCGCGUUGAUGCGGAAACAUGUUUAAAACAAACGUAUAAAAAAUGCUUAAAAUUAACUAAAACUAAUGAGAAAGUAUGUAAAAUAUUCUUAUUUUACAUUUUAAAACAUAAGAAGUAUGUGACAAAGUGGAGUAUAAAAAGAAAAAUACUAUUUUCCAAAAAAGAAAACUUGAUUGAAUUGAUGAGGUGGCAUGGUUUGAAUUGAUAAAAUAUUACAAAAAUUUAAAUGAAUACAUGCAUUGCUUAAAAAAAAUACACGCAUGACUUGAUGAGGUGGCAUGCAUGAUUUGCAUGUGGUGAGCCUGAUGAGGUGGCAUAGUUGCAUGUUGAGAGAAAUCAUGUAGUGGGGUCUCUUAUUUAUAUAUAGAAGAUAAUUUGCAUAUGGUGAGCCUAAUGAGGUGGUGAAAGGGCAUUUUCCUCCCUAAGUGUUUUGGUGUUAAUAACAACAUGACUCAUGGACUAACAGUGUGCUCGAGUGUUUCAGAUUUGAGAUCAAAUAGCACAAGACGGUUC